CUGAUGAAAGAAAUUAAGUCUCUUAGGAAAGAAAACCAGGAGCUUCGCCAAUUACUUUGAGAAAUAGUGAAGAUUGCAUUGUUAUUUGCGAUUGUUAAUGGAUUUUGGAAUCUGUUUUUCAUUUGCUUGGUUUUGCACUUCAUAGGUGCCCUUCUGUUUCUCAGGUAAUUAGGAUUGCUUCCCUUAGCAAUAGUGCUGAAGCGUUCAGAAGGUGGAGAAAAAGGACCAAAAUUCAACAUGCUAUUAGAAUUAGGAUUCUUAUUCCUUCAGCCUGUAAAUAGAUGCCUCAAUUCUCAUAGGAUCUGUGUUAUUCGACAUUGUUAGAUUCCACUGCAAAAUGUCUCCAUUCCUGUUGUAACUAAUGAAUUUUCAAUGUAUCAAGCAGCCUUAGUUUUCCUUGC
rnacentral:misc_RNA from 1 species